UCCCGGAGGAGAGGAACUCUUGAGGGGGUAAAAGAGCUCUGCAGAGUGUAGAGGAGCCGGACUUUGCAGCCAGGCUAUCGUCAAGAUUGAAUUAGAUCGUGCAUGGAGAGCAUCAAAUUUAUUGCCUGAUCUCUAGCAAGUGUUCAAAAAAUGCAUACUAUUGUUCUUACCAUCUUAAUUUGGAUACUAGGUGGUAAGUGAUGGGCUUGAGAUGUGAGUCCUGGAACGUCUAAUUCUUCAUCCAGGAUCUUUUCAGUGCGUCGUGCUUCCUCUUACACAGAACCUCUCUGCCUGGUAAUGGCUAUUGCACAUGUUUCUCCUGCUGGGACCACUUUCUUCACAUUAGCUGGUGUGCUGUAGAAUAUGUCUACAGAUUCUUCAAUUCUGCUCCCUUUAAGAGGUGGAGCUUAAUUUUUCUUCAUUUGAAUAUGGCUUGAAAUUAGCAACUCACUUUCGACAAAUAGAACGUAGUGGAAGAGACGUUUGACUUCUGAGACGAGGCCAUAAAGGCAUUGAGGCUUCCCUUUUGCUCACUCUCUCUUGGAUCAUUUGCUCUGGGGGAAGCCAGCUGUCAUGUCAUAAAGGUCCUCAAGCAGCCUUAUGGAGAGGCCCUGGUGGUGAGGAUAACCAGUGAGAAACCGUCAGCAGGCACGUGAGUGAGCCACCUUGACUCUCCAGUCCCAGUCAAGCCUUUGGAUGACAGCAGCCCUGACCAAUAUCUUGACAUCAACCGGGUGGGAGACCCUGAGCCAGAAUCAUCCAGCUAAGCUGCUCUCAAAUUCCUGACCCAUGGAGACUAUGGGAUGAUACAUGUUUGUCAUUUUAAGCUGCUAAACUUUGGGGAUAAUUUGUUAUGCAGCAACAGAUAACUAAUACAGAUUCUAUAUCAUACAGAUAUAGAAUUUAAGGCAUUAUAGAUUAUAGAAUUUAAAGCAUUACUCCAGGAACUUGUGUGAGCUCCAGACAGCAUUCAGUGUUCUCUUACAGGAUGCCCUGGUUCUGCCUGUAGCUACUCCAGCUGUCCUUGUUCCUGCUGAAGUUAGUUCUCUUUUUCAGAGGAUGAGGGUGUAAAUCCAGCUCUUAAGCAUCUGCAGGUGAGUGGCACUUUGCCUUGUUGUCCGGUAGCUAAACCAGAAGGUUCACAUUUUAAGCAAUCUUGAAGAGCUGUACUUGGAGUAAUUGCUGGGAAGUCCAAUUAAGAGCAGAGCCUGAGUGAAAGAAGCUUGCCAAAUCUCACUUAGGCUACUGAUGUUUGAGACAGAUGACAGACCCAGGAACUUGUUAAUGCAACCCAUUUAUAGAUCCUCCACAUUCUAUCCCCAUAUGAAAUUGUAUUAUAAGAAAUCAAAGUACCUGGGAACAUGUUAUAUCAUACUCACAGGUGUCUCCUUUUAAAACAGUGUUUCUGUCACUUCCAA
rnacentral:lncRNA from 1 species